GUGCCAGCCGCCGCGGUAAUACGUAGGUGGCAAGCGUUAUCCGGAAUUAUUGGGCGUAAAGCGCGCGUAGGCGGUUUUUUAAGUCUGAUGUGAAAGCCCACGGCUCAACCGUGGAGGGUCAUUGGAAACUGGAAAACUUGAGUGCAGAAGAGGAAAGUGGAAUUCCAUGUGUAGCGGUGAAAUGCGCAGAGAUAUGGAGGAACACCAGUGGCGAAGGCGACUUUCUGGUCUGUAACUGACGCUGAUGUGCGAAAGCGUGGGGAUCAAACAGGAU
rnacentral:rRNA from 1 species